UCUUGUUCUUCUUUUUCUUCUUUUUCUUCUUUUGCCUCUCCAUUUUCUUCUCCUUUUCUCUCUUCUCUCUCAGAUCUAUCCGAUGAUCUGUCGGAAUUAUGGGGAGUAGGUGGGAGAGGGUUCUCUUCAGG
rnacentral:ribozyme from 13 species